AAACACCCUCACAGACACACCCAGAAUAUGGUGGAUGUCUGGGACUCCCCCCCCGCCCCCGGCCCCGGGCGCCCCUGGUUGACAUUCCAUACGUGCACUAUAAGCGUAUCCCCCGUCUCACCUCAUUACUCCUCACGCCACCCUGCGGGGUAGGUGCCACCGUUCACAGGUAAGGGUCUAGGUAUAGAGGGUUAGCUAUGCAGCUGAGAAGUGGCUGCCGUGGGGUUCCACACAGAGCCACCCCACAACCUGCUGGAGUUCAGGCUGGUCUGGAAAUUCCUCGGGGAGUCAGCUCCGCUUCCCCAGUCCACCGGCCCCACAGCCAAACUAACCGCGAAGAAUUCCUUCGCUCUCCCCUCCUCUUUGGUGUCCACCAUGGCCUUCUCCGCUGCCUGGGGACCAGCCACCGGGCGCGGAGGACCCGCAGCGCGCGCGGCGCCCGCACCUCCCAGUGUGAAUGGCGCAGCGCCGCCCGGUUCGCGUCGCUCAGACGCCCGGGCCUCGCGGGACCCACACUCCGGGCGGACGGGUCGGUGGUGAGUUCAGCCUCCGUCCGGUGAGUGUGCGGACCCCGGGCCGCGGACCGGGCCGCCCGGCAGCACGCGCUCCCGCCGCCUGGGUCAGUGCGCGCCGCCUCUGAGCCGCGCAAACCACAGCCUCGGGGCCUCCGCGCAUCGCCCCCGAUUGUGCCGUGUGUGCCCGCGAUCACCUCUCCGCCGUCCUCCCGGUGUGUGCCCCAUAAUCUUUCCAGGGUUUAGGGCCUGCACAGUCUGUGCCCGCCCCGCGCUGGGCGUUGUUGAGAGCUUGGCUGAGGGCGGAGGCCGGGGAGGAGGGGGCCACACAGAGUGCCCCGUGGGCCCUGCUGUGUAGACAGCCAGGCUGAGGGAGGAGCUGCCAAACCAGGAGGAAAGGGCAUUUAAUUAAGACGGAGGAGAGGAGGUCGUGAUGGCCCAGGGGAGGGGAGCAGUCCGGGCAAGCCGAGGUCAGUAAGCUGUCCAGAGACAUCCGCCAGCUUCAAGGGAAAGAGACACAGGCCAGCACCUCUGAUUGUGGCGUCUGUUCCUGCUGCAGCACAGCGUCGUCUGCUUCAACUGUGAACACAGGCCCUGCUGGCCAGUCGCGAUGUUCAACCAGAGAACACGAGUGCAGCAUCUACUCACCCUUGAGCCUGCCGCAUGAAGAAGCAGUGUGUGGUCUGGACCAUCAGCAGAACUAACUUCACCGUCCUCCAGAAAUGCGGAACUCGGUGGGCAUGCUGCUGUGACCACAUCUUGGAUACACCUGGCCAGGAAUCUCAGAUUGAACUUUAAAGGCCUCUUGAGGCCAGGAAAGCCAAGCCAAGGAUUUGUCAUCAGACUCCACCUGCAAUACCUACAGAUUUGGAUGGAAUCCUCUCUUCUCAAGGUCCC
rnacentral:lncRNA from 1 species